rnacentral:lncRNA from 1 species
CUUCUUUUCCAGGUUGGUCUGGAACUGCUGAGCUCAGGAGAUCCACCCUUCUUGGCCUCCCAAAGUGCUGGGGUUACAGGCGUAAGCCACCACACCCGGGCUUUUACAUCUUAAAUAGUAAUUUUGUUAUGGAAAAAUAAUUUAAAUAUAAUUUCCAGCUAAAGUUAUAGUUUCAAUUUUACAGUUUUAAUGUAGAGAUAAUUCUGUUUUUGGAGAAUCAUUCUUUGAAAUUGAAGAAUGGGUUCUUCAAUUAGGAAAAAUAUGAAUUACAUGGAAUAUUUAAAGGAAUAUUCCUAGUGACUUUCACUUAUUUUACUUUCACUUACUUUAUGCCAACAAAAGACAUAAGGCUCUGUGGACAUGAAACACCUCUGAUCAUGGAUAUUAAGAUUCUUCAAUCUGUGACCUGUUACCUAUACUGUAGCCACUGUUUCCACUAAGACAUACUAUAUUGUUUGAGUCACUAAGGCAUCCAUUUACUCAACUCUACUUGUUUUUAUACCAUAUAGAUUUUUUAAAAACAUCAGAGCUGGAGUGGAGAAAGAUGGCUGAGUAGGAACAGGCUCCGGUCUGCAGCUCCCAGCAAGAUCAACACAGAAGAAUAGGAGAUAUGAACAUAAUCAUAGGCACACAGAUACUGUGGCCAAUGAAAGGGAUGCAGUUGGAAACGUGUUCUCUUUUUAUGAUCCCAAGAAAAGAGAAGUGUAUGAGAAAAGAGAGUUGAUUUGGAGUUAUACAAAAUAUAGAAAUCAUUGGAUAAAUAGGAAACUUCAUUUUAAUUUGAGAUGUUAAAAUAUUUGGAAGAUUUUCAAAAUGAUUUAUAUGAAGUGGAAAAGGAAAAAUCUUGGACUUGAAAAAAGAAGGCCCUUCCAACUGUGGACUGUCCAGGUAAAAUCGUUUAUAA